ACUCCUACGGGAGGCAGCAGUGGGGAAUAUUGCACAAUGGGCGCAAGCCUGAUGCAGCCAUGCCGCGUGUGUGAAGAAGGCCUUGGGUUGUAAAGCACUUUCAGUCGUGAGGAAGGUAGUGUAGUUAAUAGCUGCAGUAUUUGACGUUAGCGACAGAAGAAGCACCGGCUAACUCCGUGCCAGCAGCCGCGGUAAUACGGAGGGUGCGAGCGUUAAUCGGAAUUACGUGGGCGUAAAGCGCAUGCAGGUGGUUUGUUAAGUCAGAUGUGAAAGCCCGGGGCUCAACCUCGGAAUAGCAUUUGAAACUGGCAGACUAGAGUACUGGUAGAGGGGGUAGAAUUUCAGGUGUAGCGGUGAAAUGCGUAGAGAUCGUGAAGGAAUACCGGUGGCGAAGGCGGCCCCUGGACAGAUACUGACACUCAGAUGCGAAAGCGUGGGAGCAAACAGGAUUAGAU
rnacentral:rRNA from 1 species